GCUUACGGCCAUACCACCCUGAACACGCCCGAUCUCGGAAGCUAAGCAGGGUCGGGCCUGGUUAGUACUUGGAUGGAGACCGCCUGGGAAUACCAGGUGCUGUAAGUU
rnacentral:rRNA from 1 species